rnacentral:rRNA from 1 species
AUUGAACGCUGGCGGCAUGCCUUACACAUGCAAGUCGAACGGCAGCACGGGAGCAACCCUGGUGGCGAGUGGCGAACGGGUGAGUAAAGUAUCGGAACGUGCCCAGUCGUGGGGGAUAACGUAGCGAAAGUUACGCUAAUACCGCAUACGAUCUAUGGAUGAAAGCGGGGGAUCGCAAGACCUCGCGCGAUUGGAGCGGCCGAUAUCAGAUUAGGUAGUUGGUGGGGUAAAGGCUCACCAAGCCGACGAUCUGUAGCUGGUCUGAGAGGACGACCAGCCACACGGGGAGUGAGGCACGGCCCAGACUCCUACGGGAGGCAGCAGUGGGGAAUUUUGGACAAUGGGCGAAAGCCUGAUCCAGCCAUGCCGCGUGCAGGAUGAAGGCCUUCGGGUUGUAAACUGCUUUUGUACGGAACGAAAAGGUUUGGCCUAAUAAGCUGAGCUCAUGACGGUACCGUAAGAAUAAGCACCGGCUAACUACGUGCCAGCCGCCGCCGUAA